ACCAAUUCUGGGGGAUAAAUAGUUCCUCUUGGUAUAAUGGCUAGGACGCUACAUUUAUCUCAAGUGUGGCAUUCCUGAUUUAUGGUUUCUUCAAUCCCAUUUGAUCCUGGAAAUACCACAUACAUUU